UGUGAUUAGCAGUGUUUCAUCUAAAGUUAAGAUUGUACUGUUCAGAGCCCCUUCUACUGUUCUGCAUGCAGUGUGAGAUCAGACCCCUUGACAUGCCCCAUCAUCCCAGGCUGCAUAAACAUCAUUGACAUCUGUAAAGGACACUCAAGUCUGGGUCUUACCAUUGUGGGAGGCUGCAACACAUUACUGGGAGCGAUUCUGAUUCAUGAGGUGAAUGAAGGAGGUGCUGCUCAUCGAGACGGGAGAUUGAUGGCAGGGGAUCACAUCCUUGAG